CCUACGGGAGGCAGCAGUGGGGAAUAUUGGGCAAUGGGCGAAAGCCUGACCCAGCAACGCCGCGUGAAGGAAGAAGGCUUUCGGGUUGUAAACUUCUUUUGACAGGGAAGAGCAGAAGACGGUACCUGUCGAAUAAGCCACGGCUAACUACGUGCCAGCAGCCGCGGUAAUACGUUGGUGGCAAGCGUUGUCCGGAUUUACUGGGUGGAAAGGGCGUGUAGCCGGGCUGACAAGUCAGAUGUGAAAUCCGGGGGCUCAACCCCCGAACUGCAUUUGAAACUGUUGGUCUUGAGUAUCGGAGAGGCAGGCGGAAUUCCUAGUGUAGCGGUGAAAUGCGUAGAUAUUAGGAGGAACACCAGUGGCGAAGGCGGCCUGCUGGACGACAACUGACGGUGAGGCGCGAAAGCGUGGGGAGCAAACAGGAUUAGAUACCCCAGUAGUC
rnacentral:rRNA from 1 species